GCGCUGGUGGUGUAAGGCGGAGUAUCGCUGCCCGGAAAGCAGAAGGUGCGGGUUCGAGCCCCGCCUGGCGCA
rnacentral:tRNA from 1 species